AUUGAACGCUGGCGGCAGGCUUAACACAUGCAAGCCGAGCGGAGAUGAGGUGUUUGCACCUUAUCUUAGCGGCGGACGGGUGAGUAAUGCUUAGGAAUCUGCCUAUUAGUGGGGUACAACAUUCCGAAAGGAAUGCUAAUACCGCAUACGCGCUACGGGGGAAAGCAGGGGAACUUCGGACCUUGCGCUAAUAGAUGAGACGAAGGCGGAUUAGCUAGUUGGUGGGGUAAAGGCCUAGCAAGGCGAGGAUCUGUAGCGGGUCUGAGAGGAGGCUCCGCCACACUGGGGCUGAGACCCGGCCCAGAACCCGGGGGGAGGCAUCGGUGGGGAAUAUUUGGCGAUGGGCGGAAGCCGGAUCCAGCCAUGCUGUGUGUGUGAAGAAGGUCUUUAGGUUGUAGAGCACUUUUAGCGAGGACGAGGCUACCUGGAUUAAUACUCUAGGAUAGUGGACGUUACUCGCAGAAUAAGCACCGGCUAACUCUGUGCCAGCCGCCGCCGUAACAC
rnacentral:rRNA from 1 species